rnacentral:tRNA from 1 species
GCCCCCAUCGUCCAGCGGCCUAGGACGCCUGCCUUUCACGCAGGUAACACGGGUUCGAAUCCCGUUGGGGGUGCGA